rnacentral:rRNA from 1 species
UACAGAGGUCUCAAGCGUUGUUCGGAUUCAUUGGGCGUAAAGGGUGCGUAGGCGGCGCGGUAAGUCGGGUGUGAAAUCUCGGGGCUUAACUCCGAAACUGCAUUCGAUACUGCCGUGCUUGAGGACUGGAGAGGAGACUGGAAUUUACGGUGUAGCGGUGAAAUGCGUAGAUAUCGUAAGGAACACCAGUGGCGAAGGCGGGCAUCUGGGCCAACACUGACGCUGAUGCGCGAAAGCUAGGGGAGCAAACAGG